GUAGUGAGUGGGGUAAAUAUUUGAACGAGCUCUACUGCCACUUACAUCCUCUUGACUCCAUUGCUACAUCAGUUCGCUCAGCCCUAAAAAUGCAGAAACAAUCCGGAGGACAAUUCUUGUUUGGGAAAGACUGUCUAGCAGUAAAUGCCAUUCUACAGAUGAGCAAGCUUCGUUAUAAAAACGGAAAAGGGGACCCAAAAGGAUUUGUCGCAUUUUUAGAUGACAGGAACAUCCCCCGAGGUGUCCUCCCACGGUACCGUGGCAACAGAUUGCACAUACUGUUUCAUAUUAGUGGCAAGCUAAUUGAACAUUAUGAUGACUUUGUUGCACUGCUGAAUAGCGGAACAUCCUGUGGGGGGUUGAAAAGCGCCAUCCUCCAUGACUUCACCCAGGCUGAAGCAAAAGUAGAACUUCAGAUAUUGGGCUUACUUGGCAAAUAUCUGACUGGGCCUUGGAUGAAGCGCUUCUACACUUCAAGCCAGAAUCAGAUCAACCAUGUUGAUGGCAUCAAAGUGGUUAAAGGGGUGAUUGCUGCUCUAAAGAAAGCCACAGAAAAUCCAGAGAAAUUGAUAUUGGCAAGGGAAGAUUUCUUCGUGUGGGGAAAGAGUAUAG